rnacentral:rRNA from 1 species
UUCAGAGGCCCCGAGCGUUAAUCGGAGUUACUGGGCUUAAAGGGUGCGUAGGCCGGCCCGCAAGUGCUUUGUGAAAUCCCACGGCUCAACCGUGGAAUAGCUUGGCAUACUGCGGGCCUUGAGGUCGGUAGAGGUCGCUGGAACUGUAGGUGUAGCGGUGAAAUGCGUAGAUAUCUACAGGAACGCCAAAGGUGAAGACAGGCGACUGGGCCGAUUCUGACGCUGAGGCACGAAAGCGUGGGGGGCAAACGGG